rnacentral:rRNA from 1 species
UAAUAGUGUAUAUUAAAGUUGUUGCAGUUAAAAAGCUCGUAGUUGAAUGUUGGUGUCGAACGAGCGGUCAGCUUCGGCUGUACUGCUCUCUCGACUCCUUCCUUCUGUGGACUACGUCGCACUUUACUGUGUGGCGCUAGGACGCAGAUCGUUUACUGUGAAAAAAUUAGAGUGUUCAAAGCAGGCCGUACGCUUGAAUACAUUAGCAUGGAAUAAUGAAAUAGGACGUCGGGCCUAUUUUGUUGGUUCUAGGACCGUCGUAAUGAUUAAUAGGGACAGUUGGGGCCGUUUAUAUUCCGUAGUCAGAGGUGAAAUUCUUGGAUUUACGGAAGAUAAACUACUGCGAAAGCAUUCGGCAAGGAUGUUUUCGUUAA